rnacentral:lncRNA from 1 species
AUGGUGUUAAAUUCCUACCACAAGCCAUAUAUGCUCUACAUGAUAGAAAUCCAGCACAUAGGCUGCUUGCUUGUGUUGAGAGUUGUAAACUCUUGUUGACCCUUGGUUUAGAGUUGUGUCAUGCUCAAUGAGAUCAAGAUCCACACCAUCCACAUAAAUCUGCUGCUCCAACACUGGGAGUAUGCAACAUUCCAUACCAUUCCAUUCCAUUCCACCAAAUAUAGAUUCUCCAUGCUCUAAGUGUAGAAUCUCUCUCUCUAAUAGCUAAAUGUUAGAUGAGACACAAAGCAAAGGCUAUAGAAAAAAUAAUCAUCUUGUUAGGAAGGACAUCAUCAAGUCCAUGAAAAAAACAGAAAAAUGCUAGCCUUGUCUCAAUAGAAAAAAAAUAGAGAGAGCACAAUCAAAUAAAGGAGCCAUCUAGCCAUCAUACUCAUACCACCUUUCCACAUAUAUAUCUUGAUCUGAAGCAUGACACUACUCUUCCUCCAAGGAUCCGAGGUUUGACUUCACAACAUAUGCAAUGUAAGUACGCCAUCCCCUUGUUUCUACCUUGAGCUCCACAUAAGCCUUUAUUAUAGUAGGAUUACAUAG